rnacentral:rRNA from 1 species
GCAAAACAGCUAGCCUUAACACAUCAAAUAAACAACCAAUCAUAUAUAUAAAAACAAAACACACCUAAAAUAAAACAUUCUUCCACCAAAGUAUAGGCGAUAGAAAAG